rnacentral:rRNA from 1 species
GACGAACGCUGGCGGCGUGCUUAACACAUGCAAGUCGAACGGAAAGGCCCCUUUGGGGGUACUCGAGUGGCGAACGGGUGAGUAACACGUGAGUAACCUGCCCUUGACUUCGGGAUAACUUCAGGAAACUGGGGCUAAUACCGGAUAGGAAUCCUUGCUGCAUGGUGGGGGUUGGAAAGCUUCGGCGGUUUUGGAUGGACUCGCGGCUUAUCAGCUUGUUGGUGGGGUAGUGGCUUACCAAGGCUUUGACGGGUAGCCGGCCUGAGAGGGCGACCGGCCACAUUGGGACUGAGAUACGGCCCAGACUCCUACGGGAGGCAGCAGUGGGGAAUAGUGCACAAUGGGCGGAAGCCUGAUGCAGCAACGCCGCGUGCGGGAUGACGGCCUUCGGGUUGUAAACCGCUUUCAGCAGGGGCGAAGCUUGUGGUGACGGUACCUGCAGAAGAAGCACCGGCUAACUACGUG